UAACGCGUGAGGAACCUGCCUCAAAGAGGGGGACAACAGUUGGAAACGACUGCUAAUACCGCAUAAGCCCACGACCCGGCAUCGGGAAGAGGGAAAAGGAGCAAUCCGCUUUGAGAUGGCCUCGCGUCCGAUUAGCUAGUUGGUGAGGUAACGGCCCACCAAGGCGACGAUCGGUAGCCGGACUGAGAGGUUGAACGGCCACAUUGGGACUGAGACACGGCCCANACUCCUACGGGAGGCAGCAGUGGGGAAUAUUGCACAAUGGGGGAAACCCUGAUGCAGCGACGCCGCGUGGAGGAAGAAGGUCUUCGGAUUGUAAACUCCUGUUGUUGAGGAAGAUAAUGACGGUACUCAACAAGGAAGUGACGGCUAACUACGUGCCAGCAGCCGCGGUAAAACGUAGGUCACAAGCGUUGUCCGGAAUUACUGGGUGUAAAGGGAGCGCAGGCGGGCGAUCAAGUUGGAAGUGAAAUCCAUGGGCUCAACCCAUGAACUGCUUUCAAAACUGGUCGUCUUGAGUAGUGCAGAGGUAGGCGGAAUUCCCGGUGUAGCGGUGGAAUGCGUAGAUAUCGGGAGGAACACCAGUGGCGAAGGCGGCCUACUGGGCACCAACUGACGCUGAGGCUCGAAAGUGUGGGUAGCAAACAGGAUUAGAUACCCUGGUAGUCCACACCGUAAACGAUGAUUACUAGGUGU
rnacentral:rRNA from 1 species